rnacentral:rRNA from 1 species
AGCGGCGGACGGGUUAGUAACGCGUGGGAAUAUGCCCAGUUCUACGGAAUAGCCUCGGGAAACUGAGAGUAAUACCGUAUACGCCCUUCGGGGGAAAGAUUUAUCGGAAUUGGAUUAGCCCGCGUUAGAUUAGGUAGUUGGUGGGGUAAUGGCCUACCAAGCCUACGAUCUAUAGCUGGUUUGAGAGGAUGAUCAGCAACACUGGGACUGAGACACGGCCCAGACUCCUACGGGAGGCAGCAGUGGGGAAUCUUGGACAAUGGGCGCAAGCCUGAUCCAGCCAUGCCGCGUGAGUGACGAAGGCCCUAGGGUCGUAAAGCUCUUUCAGCUGUGAAGAUAAUGACGGUAGCAGCAGAAGAAACCCCGGCUAACUCCGUGCCAGCAGCCGCGGUAAUACGGAGGGGGUUAGCGU